rnacentral:rRNA from 1 species
UUGUUAUUUAUGGAAACAUAGGCAAAGACUUCUUAAAGGGACAUGUUGGGUUUACCAGCGGGAAGUUUGAGGCAAGAACAGGUCUGUGAUGUCCUUAGAUGUUCUGGGCCGCACGCGCGCUACACUGACGAAUUCAACGAGCUUUUAUUUCUUUGAGAAUAAAUUCCUUUAUCGGAAGAUAUGGGUAAUCUUUUAAUGUUCGUCGUGAUGGGGCUAGAUUCUUGCAAUUAUUAAUCUCCAACGAGGAACC